rnacentral:rRNA from 1 species
UACGUAGGGGGCAAGCGUUGUCCGGACUUAUUGGGCGUAAAGAGCGUGUAGGCGGCUAGAUAGGUCCGUUGUGAAAACUCGAGGCUCAACCUCGAGACGUCGAUGGAAACCAUCUGGCUAGAGUCCGGAAGAGGAGAGUGGAAUUCCUGGUGUAGCGGUGAAAUGCGCAGAUAUCAGGAAGAACACCCGUGGCGAAGGCGGCUCUCUGGUACGUGACUGACGCUGAGACGCGAAAGCGUGGGGAGCAAACAGG